rnacentral:rRNA from 1 species
AGGGUUGUUUAAGACUAAGACGUAGAUAGGUGCGGUGUGUAAGUGUAGUGAUACAUUGAGCUAACGCAUACUAAUUGCCCGAGAGGCUUAGCCAUACAACGCUCAAG